rnacentral:snRNA from 1 species
GGAUGUGAGGGUGAUCUGGCUGCAACAUCUGUCGCCCCAUUGAUCGCCAGGGUUGAUUGGGCUGAUCUGGCUGGCUAGUGACCCCUUCCUCCCUCACUGCUCCAUAUGUGUCCCUCCAGAAGCUGCACUCCUGGUCUGUUGAAGAGGAUGGCCCUUCCCUGAAUAGAGACAGACUGGUCUUUGUUUGAGGAUAUAUGAGUAGUUGUGCUCCCCUGCUAGAACCUCCAAACAAGAUCUCAAAGACUCUUUUCUUCAGCUCACUGAAGUGUUUUCAGUUUCCUUUCCUUCACACAUGUACUCCUUAUAGAUGGCCAAGAGGCCUGAGGGG